UUCUAUUGAAGGAUGUAUAGACCAGGUUUCUAUUGAAGGAUGUAUAGACCAGGUUUCUAUUGAAGGAUGUAUAGACCAGGUUUCUAUUGAAGGAUGUAUAGACCAGGUUUCUAUUGAAGUGUGUAUCGACCAGGUUUCUAUUGAAGUGUGUAUAGACCAGGUUUCUAUUGAAGGGUGUAUAGACCAGGUUUCUAUUGAAGGAUGUAUAGACCAGGUUUCUAUUGAAGGAUUUAUAGACCAGGUUUCUAUUGAAGUGUGUAUCGACCAGGUUUCUAUUGAAGUGUGUAUCGACCAGGUUUCUAUUGAAGUGUGUAUAGACCAGGUUUCUAUUGAAGGAUGUAUAGACCAGGUUUCUAUUGAAGGAUGUAUAGACCAGGUUUCUAUUGAAGGAUGUAUAGACCAGGUUUCUAUUGAAGUGUGUAUAGACCAGGUUUCUAUUGAAGGAUGUAUAGACCAGGUUUCUAUUGAAGUGUGUAUAGACCAGGUUUCUAUUGAAGGAUGUAUAGACCAGGUUUCUAUUGAAGUGUGUAUAGACCAGGUUUCUAUUGAAGGAUGUAUAGACCAGGUUUCUAUUGAAGUGUGUAUCGACCAGGUUUCUAUUGAAGUGUGUAUAGACCAGGUUUCUAUUGAAGUGUGUAUAGACCAGGUUUCUAUUGAAGUGUGUAUCGACCAGGUUUCUAUUGAAGUGUGUAUAGACCAGGUUUCUAUUGAAGUGUGUAUAGACCAGGUUUCUAUUGAAGUGUGUAUAGACCAGGUUUCUAUUGAAGUGUGUAUAGACCAGGUUUCUAUUGAAGUGUGUAUAGACCAGGUUUCUAUUGAAGUGUGUAUAGACCAGGUUUCUAUUGAAGGAUGUAUAGACCAGGUUUCUAUUGAAGUGUGUAUAGACCAGGUUUCUAUUGAAGUGUGUAUAGACCAGGUUUCUAUUGAAGUGUGUAUAGACCAGGUUUCUAUUGAAGGAUGUAUAGACCAGGUUUCUAUUGAAGUGUGUAUAGACCAGGUUUCUAUUGAAGUGUGUAUAGACCAGGUUUCUAUUGAAGGAUGCAUAGACCAGUGGGAAGUUUCUAUGGAAGCUACUAUAGGGAAAUGCAAUGUAAAGCCCAAGGAAAGGGGAGCUGAAUGAAAACUCCAAACGUAAGUGAAUGGUAAAAAACUGCAAGAUAAGAUUAUACAAAGAGUGUAACCAAGCUUAUAUACUGCUUCUUUAAAAUGUACAUCUAGAAUGCCACGGCCUUGCGAGGCACAAUAUUAAUAGAGCUGGAUAAACAUUGAAGGACUGGUGUUAUAACAGCACAGAAAGCUAAACUUGGUGUAAAGUAACAUGAAGUGGGCACGGUUCUCUACAAAGUGUGGUACAUAUGAAACAUUGAGCUG